rnacentral:rRNA from 1 species
AAAGCUCGUAGUCGGAUUUCAGUUUGUGCAACGCUACUCUUAGGAGGUGUGACUGUACUAACUUCUUUAACAAGAGUUUCGUAUGCGUUCAUUCGUAUGCGAGAUAGAUUGUUUCUUUCACCUUGAGAAAAUUAGAGUGUUCAAAGCAGGUAUUCGCCUGAAUAUUACUCUUGGAAUAAUAAUAUAGGACUUUGGUUCUAAAUUGUUGGUGACUUGGGACCGAAGUAAUGAUUGAUAGGGACAGUUGGGGUCAUUCGUACUGCAAAGCGAGAGGUGAAAUUCUUAGACCUUUGCAUGACGAACAACUGCGAAAGCAUUUGACUAGGAUGUUCCCGUUGAUCAAGAACGAAAGUUGGGGGAUCGAAGACGAUCAGAUACCGUCGUAGUCUCAACCAUAAACUAUGCCAGCUAGGGAUUGGAUGACGUUACAUUAUUCGACUCAUUCAGCACCUUAUGAGAAAUCAAAGCAUUUGGGUUCCGGGGGGAGUAUGGUCGCAAGGCUGAAACUUAAAGGAAUUGACGGGAGGGCACCACCAGGAGUGGAGCCUGUGGCUUAAUUUGACUCAACACGGGAAAACU